CCCUUAGAUGUCCUGGGCCGCACGCGCGUUACACUGAUGCAUUCAACGAGCUUAUAACCUUGGCCGAGAGGCCUGGGCAAUCUUGUUAACGUGCAUCGUGAUAGGGAUAGAUUAUUGAAAUUAUUAAUCUUGAACGAGGAAUUCCUAGUAAACGCAGAUCAUCAAUCUGCAUUGAUUACGUCCCUGCCCUUUGUACACACCGCCCGUCGCACCUACCGAUUGGAUGGUCCGGUGAAGCCUCGGGAUUGUGGUUCUUGCCGCUUUAUUGUGGCGUGACCGCGAGAACUUGUCUAAACCUUNUNAUCUAGNGGAAGGUGAANUCGUANCA
rnacentral:rRNA from 1 species